rnacentral:rRNA from 1 species
AUGAACGCUGGCGGCGUGCCUAAUACAUGCCAGUCGAGCGAACAGACGAGGAGCUUGCUCCUCUGAUGUUAGCGGCGGACGGGUGAGUAACACGUGGAUAACCUACCUAUAAGACUGGGAUAACUUCGGGAAACCGGAGCUAAUACCGGAUAACAUGUUGAACCGCAUGGUUCAACAGUGAAAGACGGUCUUGCUGUCACUUAUAGAUGGAUCCGCGCCGCAUUAGCUAGUUGGUAAGGUAACGGCUUACCAAGGCAACGAUGCGUAGCCGACCUGAGAGGGUGAUCGGCCACACUGGAACUGAGACACGGUCCAGACUCCUACGGGAGGCAGCAGUAGGGAAUCUUCCGCAAAGGGCGAAAGCCUGACGGAGCAACGCCGCGUGAGUGAAGAAGGUCUUCGGAUCGUAAAACUCUGUUAUUAGGGAAGAACAAAUGUGUAAGUAACUAUGCACGUCUUGACGGUACCUAAUCAGAAAGCCACGGCUAACUACGUG